rnacentral:rRNA from 1 species
UACGGAGGGUGCAAGCGUUGUUCGGAAUCAUUGGGCGUAAAGCGCGUGUAGGCGGCUUGGCAAGUCGGGUGUGAAAUCCCGGGGCCCAACCCCGGAACUGCAUUCGAAACUGCCUCGCUUGAGUCUCGGAGAGGAGAGCGGAAUUCCCGGUGUAGAGGUGAAAUUCGUAGAUAUCGGGAGGAACACCAGCGGCGAAGGCGGCUCUCUGGACGAUGACUGACGCUGAGACGCGAAAGCGUGGGGAGCAAACAGG